GCGCCUGUAGCUCAGUUGGAUUAGAGCGGUGGCCUUCGAAGCCAUAGGUCGGGCGUUCGAGUCGCCCCAGGCGCG
rnacentral:tRNA from 1 species